AAAGGAUGGUCCGUUGACUGCGUAAGACCUGUGAUUCGAAUUCCUCACAUAUUUCUUGGUCGAAUGAUUCGAAUUCCAUCUGUGAUCUGUGUGAAAUCUUUUUGCUCUCUCAUCCUUUUCAUAUUUCCUCAUUCACACACUCAUGCGCCUACUCAGAGGCGUGAUGUGCAAUUGUGCAUGAUUGUUGAUGCCAAACUUAUCAUUGAUGUGGGAUACCCUCUUCUUUAGUGA